UUCAACUUCACUUCAUCUCAUCGUUCCCUCACUCUCGCGCUCGUAUCCUCACCGGCGAUGGUCUCCACCUCCAACCGCUGCCGUUUCACUUCGAAUCAACGCGCUCUAAACACAAACUCACCCUAAAAUCAUGCCCUGAGCCUAAAUCUACGAUCAAUUUAACAUGAGAAUGGCGCAAAUAUUCGGAUCGAAAAAAGGAAAAAGCAAACCCUAGGUUUGAAAUACUGCACGAAUUCAAGUUAUUGCAGCUCCGAGAGGACAGAUAGAUGUAUUACGCCUAUGAAUGGAGGAUAACAAGUGUUAAACAAACCUGAUUGAAGAUCGAAGAUGGAGAAACGGAAAGCCAGAGGUGAGAUUCCGAGCUGGUGCGAAAUAAACGCGAUUGGAGGCGACUAAUCUUCAGAUAUGCUGUGAUCUUGAUGAUGAUUGUUGCAAUCUUGAGAAGACGAUGAUGCUGCAGUUGAUAGAAGAAACAAACUGUGAUUGAAGAUUGUUGCAGAACCUUGAUAAUCAAAUUUGGUGAUGAUUGAAUGAAGAGGUGAAGGAUUCUGAAGGUGAAGAACAAUGGAUUGGUGAUGAUGAUUGUUGAAUUGGGAGAGAAAGAUUGAAGAUGAUGAAGAUUCUAUGUGAAGAAGGUGAAGGAGAGUGGUGUGAAGAUGAUGGGAAAAAUGGUGUUUUGGGAAGAAUGAAGAGAAAUGGUGGAGAGGUUGAAGAAGCAGAGUGAAGGCUGAGAAGUGAAGAAUGGUGGAGAGUUAGAACUUAAGAAGUGAAGGUGAAAAAUGAUGGAGAGCCCUGAAGAUUGGAGGGAAUUGAAUUAUAUAGGUGAGGGUUUGAAUUCAGUUAGAGCUUGAAGUUAGUUACAAAAGGGAGAAGCUUGAGCCAA